rnacentral:rRNA from 1 species
CCAGACUCCUACGGGAGGCAGCAGUGGGGAAUAUUGCACAAUGGGGGAAACCCUGAUGCAGCAACGCCGCGUGAGUGAAGAAGUAUUUCGGUAUGUAAAGCUCUAUCAGCAGGGAAGAAAAUGACGGUACCUGACUAAGAAGCCCCGGCUAACUACGUGCCAGCAGUCGCGGUAAUACGUAGGGGGCAAGCGUUAUCCGGAUUUACUGGGUGUAAAGGGAGCGUAGACGGCAGCACAAGUCUGGAGUGAAAUCCCGGGGCUUAACCCCGGAACUGCUUUGGAAACUGUGCGGCUGGAGUGCAGGAGGGGUAAGCGGAAUUCCUAGUGUAGCGGUGAAAUGCGUAGAUAUUAGGAGGAACACCAGUGGCGAAGGCGGCCUGCUGGACAGAAACUGACGUUGAGGCUCGAAAGCGUGGGGAGCAAACAGGAUUAGAUACCCGGGUAGC